rnacentral:rRNA from 1 species
UCGGGAAUUUUGGGCAAUGGGGGAAACCCUGACCCAGCAACGCCGCGUGAAGGAUGAAGUAUUUCGGUAUGUAAACUUCGAAAGAAUAGGAAGAAUAAAUGACGGUACUAUUUAUAAGGUCCGGCUAACUACGUGCCAGCAGCCGCGGUAAUACGUAGGGACCAAGCGUUGUUCGGAUUUACUGGGCGUAAAGGGCGCGUAGGCGGCAAUUCAAGUCAUCUGUGAAAUCUCCGGGCUUAACUCGGAACGGUCAGAUGAUACUGCUUUGCUAGAGUGCAGAAGGGGCAAUCGGAAUUCUUGGUGUAGCGGUGAAAUGCGUAGAUAUCAAGAGGAACACCUGAGGUGAAGACGGGUUGCUGGGCUGACACUGACGCUGAGGCGCGAAAGCCAGGGGAGCAAACGGGAUUAGAUACCCGAGUAGUCCCUGAGCGGGCUGGCAAGGCGCAU